rnacentral:rRNA from 1 species
GUUUGAUCCUGGCUCAGGACGAACGCUGGCGGCGUGCUUAACACAUGCAAGUCGAACGAGAAUCUGUGGAUCGAGGAUUCGUCCAAGUGAAGCAGAGGACAGUGGCGGACGGGUGAGUAACGCGUGAGGAACCUGCCUUUCAGAGGGGGACAACAGUUGGAAACGACUGCUAAUACCGCAUGAUACAUUUGGGUGGCAUCAUCUGAAUGUCAAAGAUUUAUCGCUGAAAGAUGGCCUCGCGUCUGAUUAGCUAGUUGGUGAGGUAACGGCCCACCAAGGCGACGAUCAGUAGCCGGACUGAGAGGUUGACCGGCCACAUUGGGACUGAGAUACGGCCCAGACUCCUACGGGAGGCAGCAGUGGGGAAUAUUGGGCAAUGGGCGCAAGCCUGACCCAGCAACGCCGCGUGAAGGAAGAAGGCUUUCGGGUUGUAAACUUCUUUUAAGAGGGAAGAGCAGAAGACUGUACCUCUAGAAUAAGCCACGGCUAACUACGUGCCAGCAGCCGCGGUAAUACGUAGGUGGCAAGCGUUGUCCGGAUUUACUGGGUGUAAAGGGCGUGCAGCCGGGAAUGCAAGUCAGAUGUGAAAUCCAUGGGCUUAACCCAUGAACUGCAUUUGAAACUGU